GACGGAAGGUGCAAGCGUUGCUCGGAAUCACUGGGCGUAAAGGGUGCGUAGGCGGGCUGUUAAGUCUGGGGUGAAAUCCUGGAGCUCAACUCCAGAACUGCCUUUGAUACUGAAGAUCUUGAGUUCGGGAGAGGUGAGUGGAACUGCGAGUGUAGAGGUGAAAUUCGUAGAUAUUCGCAAGAACACCAGUGGCGAAGGCGGCUUACUGGUCCGGUACUGACGCUGAGGUGCGAAAGCGUGGGGAGCAAACAGG
rnacentral:rRNA from 1 species